rnacentral:rRNA from 1 species
UUCCCCCAGUAACGGCGAGUGAAGAGGGAAGAGCCCAAAUUUGUAAUCUGGCGGCUUGGGCCGUCCGAGUUGUAAUCUGGAGAGGCCACGUCCGCGCUGGACCGCGUGUAAGUCUGCUAAUAUGCAGCGUCAUAGAGGGUGUUAACCCCGUUUGUCACGCGGACUACCAGUGCAUUGCGACGGGCUUUCGAAGAGUCGAGUUGUUUGGGAAUGCAGCUCUAAAUGGGUGGUAAAUUCCAUCUAAGGCUAAAUAUAGGCGAGAGACCGAUAGCGAACAAGUACCGUGAGGGAAAGAUGAAAAGCACUUUGGAAAGAGAGUGAAAGAGUACGUGAAAUUGCUGAAAGGGAAACGAUUGAGGUCAGACCGUGCGUGGCCGGCUUCAGCCUUCCCUCGGGUUGGUGUAGUGUCGGGCCAGGCAGGCCAGCGUCGGUUUCUGGGUCCCGUAAAAGGGUGGAGGGAACGUAGCAGCUCCGGCUGUGUUAUAGCCCUCGACUGGAUGCGGAGCCGGGGACCGAGGACUGCAGCGCGCCCUUCGUGGCAGGGCUCUCGGGCCCGAUGCGCUUAGGACGCUGGCAUAAUGGCCUUAAACGACCCGUCUUGAAACACGGACCAAGGGUCUAACAUGCAUGCGAGUAUUUGGGUGUCAACCCGGGUCGGAAUGAAAGUGAACGUAGGUGGGAUCCGCAAGGAGCACCAUCGACCGUGUCCAGAGUCUUUGACGACGGAUCUGAGUUGGAGCAUGUAUGUCGGGACCCGAAAGAUGGUGAACUAUGCCUGAAUAGGGUGAAGCCAGAGGAAACUCUGGUGGAGGCUCGUAGCGGUUCUGACGUGCAAAUCGUUCGUCAAA